rnacentral:rRNA from 1 species
UGGGGAAUAUUGGGCAAUGGGCGAAAGCCUGACCCAGCAACGCCGCGUGAAGUAUGAAGGCCUUCGGGUUGUAAACUUCUUUGAUCAGGGAAGAAACAAAUGACGGUACCUGAAAAACAAGCCACGGCUAACUACGUGCCAGCAGCCGCGGUAAUACGUAGGUGGCGAGCGUUAUCCGGAUUUACUGGGUGUAAAGGGCGUGCAGGCGGGCUGAUAAGUCAGAUGUGAAAUCCCCGAGCUUAACUCGGGAACUGCAUCUGAUACUGUUGGUCUUGAGUGCUGGAGAGGAUAGUGGAAUUCCUAGUGUAGCGAUAAAAUGCGCAGAUAUUAGGAGGAACACCAGUGGCGAAGGCGGCUAUCUGGACAGUAACUGACGCUGAGGCGCGAAAGCGUGGGUAGCAAACAGG